GACGAACGCUGGCGGCGUGCUUAAUACAUGCAAGUCAACUUGACUUUAGAUAGCAAUAUCGAAAAGUAGGGUGGCGCACGGGUGCGUAACGCGUAGGUAAUCUGCCCUGAGGUCUGACAUAACCCGUCGAAAGGCGGGCUAACAUCAGAUGAUAUAUAAUCACGACAUCGUGGAAAUAUCAAAUCUUCGGAGCCUUGGGAUGAGCCUGCGUCUGAUUAGGUAGUUGGCGGAGUAAUAGCCCACCAAGCCUACGAUCAGUAGCUGGUCUGAGAGGAUGAUCAGCCACACUGGAACUGAGACACGGUCCAGACUCCUACGGGAGGCAGCAGUAAGGAAUAUUGCUCAAUGGGGGAAACCCUGAAGCAGCAACGCCGCGUGAAGGAUGAAAUACUUUUGUAUGUAAACUUCUGUAAGAUGGGAAAAAUAUUCUCCUCGGGAGAAUUGAUUGUACCAUCAGAGUAAGCCCCGG
rnacentral:rRNA from 1 species